rnacentral:rRNA from 1 species
CACCUGCAUAUUUGACGUUACCUACAGAAGAAGCACCGGCUAACUCCGUGCCAGCAGCCGCGGUAAUACGGAGGGUGCGAGCGUUAAUCGGAAUUACUGGGCGUAAAGCGCAUGCAGGCGGCCUGUUAAGUCAGAUGUGAAAGCCCGGGGCGUUAACCUCGGAAUUGCAUUUGAAACUAGGCAGGCUAGAGUCUUGUAGAGGGGGGUAGGAAGUUUCAGGUGUAGCGGUGAAAUGCGUAGAGAUCUGAAGGAAUACCAGUGGCGAAGGCGGCCCCCUGGACAAAGACUGACGCUCAGAUGCGAAAGCGUGGGGAGCAAACAGGAUUAGAUACCCUGGUAG